UCCCUCAUAGCUCAGUUGGUAAAGAAUCUGCCUAUAAUGCAGGAGACCUGGGUUCAAUCCCUGGGAUGGGAA
rnacentral:tRNA from 1 species